UACAGAGGUCCCGAGCGUUGUUCGGAUUCAUUGGGCGUAAAGGGUGCGUAGGCGGUGGGGUAAGUUGGAUGUGAAAUCUUGGGGCUUAACCUCAAAAUUGCAUUCAAUACUGCUCCGCUCGAGUUCUGUAGAGGAGAUUGGAAUUUACGGUGUAGCAGUGAAAUGCGUAGAUAUCGUAAGGAACGCCAGUGGCGAAAGCGAAUCUCUGGGCAGCAACUGACGCUGAGGCACGAAGGCCAGGGGAGCAAACGGG
rnacentral:rRNA from 1 species